UGGGGAAUAUUGCACAAUGGGCGAAAGCCUGAUGCAGCGACGCCGCGUGAGGGAUGACGGCCUUCGGGUUGUAAACCUCUUUCAGUAGGGACGAAGCGCAAGUGACGGUACCUGCAGAAGAAGCACCGGCUAACUACGUGCCAGCAGCCGCGGUAAUACGUAGGGUGCGAGCGUUGUCCGGAAUUACUGGGCGUAAAGAGCUCGUAGGCGGUUUGUCACGUCGUCUGUGAAAUCCUAGGGCUUAACCCUGGACGUGCAGGCGAUACGGGCUGACUUGAGUACUACAGGGGAGACUGGAAUUUCUGGUGUAGCGGUGGAAUGCACAGAUAUCAGGAAGAACGCCGAUGGCGAAGGCAGGUCUCUGGGUAGUAACUGACGCUGAGGAGCGAAAGCAUGGGUAGCGAACAGG
rnacentral:rRNA from 1 species